rnacentral:rRNA from 1 species
UGAAAUCCCCGGGCUCAACCUGGGAACUGCAUCUGAUACUGGCAAGCUUGAGUCUCGUAGAGGGGGGUAGAAUUCCAGGUGUAGCGGUGAAAUGCGUAGAGAUCUGGAGGAAUACCGGUGGCGAAGGCGGCCCCCUGGACGAAGACUGACGCUCAGGUGCGAAAGCGUGGGGAGCAAACAGGAUUAGAUACCCUGGUAGUCCACGCCGUAAACGAUGUCGACUUGGAGGUUGUGCCCUUGAGGCGUGGCUUCCGGAGCUAACGCGUUAAGUCGACCGCCUGGGGAGUACGGCCGCAAGGUUAAAACUCAAAUGAAUUGACGGGGGCCCGCACAAGCGGUGGAGCAUGUGGUUUAAUUCGAUGCAACGCGAAGAACCUUACCUGGUCUUGACAUCCACGGAAGUUUUCAGAGAUGAGAAUGUGCCUUCGGGAACCGUGAGACAGGUGCUGCAUGGCUGUCGUCAGCUCGUGUUGUGAAAUGUUGGGUUAAGUCCCGCAACGAGCGCAACCCUUAUCCUUUGUUGCCAGCGGUCCGGCCGGGAACUCAAAGGAGACUGCCAGUGAUAAACUGGAGGAAGGUGGGGAUGACGUCAAGUCAUCAUGGCCCUUACGACCAGGGCUACACACGUGCUACAAUGGCGCAUACAAAGAGAAGCGACCUCGCGAGAGCAAGCGGACCUCAUAAAGUGCGUCGUAGUCCGGAUUGGAGUCUGCAACUCGACUCCAUGAAGUCGGAAUCGCUAGUAAUCGUGGAUCAGAAUGCCACGGUGAAUACGUUCCCGGGCCUUGUACACACCGCCCGUCACACCAUGGGAGUGGGUUGCAAAAGAAGUAGGUAGCUUAACCUUCGGGAGGGCGCUUACCACUUUGUGAUUCAUGACUGGGGUGAAGUCGUAACAAGGUAACCGUAGGGGAACCUGCGGUUGGAUCACCUCCUUACCUUAAAGAAGC